rnacentral:lncRNA from 1 species
CAUUUUCCUUUACUUUUACAGUUGCUAAUUCAAAAUGGUACAACGUGAGAGAAACGUUUAGUUAGUUAUUACUACUUGAUAUUCUAUUCUGGCUAGUUAUAGAGCUCUACUUAAUGUUAUCUGACAGGUUAGACUAUUUAACUUGAAAAUCUGCUGCUGCCUGACUGGUGAGCUGGGACAUUACCUACUGUGAUAUGUGAUUGGCAAGAAGUCUGAAAACAUUUUGAGGCAAACUUGGCCCUGCUUGAAACUAAUAGUUAGGUCACUGCUCGUAUAAAAGAAAGUGAAAGAGCACACCUAAAUCUGCCCCAGGAAUGAAUCAACACAAAGGACCAUAAAGGAAGUAUCAGAAGACCAAGAAACAUAACAGAAUUCUUGAGCAGUGUCAUAAAUUCUCUGGACUGUGGUUUUGCAAAUGACAUUGCCACCGAAUCCAGGAAUGUGAUUUUUUUUGGGUAGUGCACAGUGCCACAGCAGGACCCCAAGACAAGCGUGUGAAUGCCCAGCAAAUAAAGCUCAAUAGCAUCACCAAUGCCGUGCAGUCUGACUGGGCUGGGGCCUGGGGCUGCAGGAAGCGCUGUGACUCAUCAGGUGGGAGCAAUAUCCAGGAAGUAGCUACAGAAUCCUGCAGAGGCUGGAGAAAGAAACGCAUCCAUAGGAGCCAGAAAAUGAGUGAAAAGGGAGUGUGUGUGUGUUUAUGUGUGUCAGGGGGAGGUUUGACACAAAAAUUGAAAGCACAUAUAAUGAUGCAGCCCAUAUGAAGAGGGGAAUUAUUAGCUAAAAGAUAGCUGUCAGAUUUCUGAAGAUAAACAAAAGGUGGAUCUGAACCUUGAAAUUGUCAGCUCAGCUCAGAAGGAGGCUGCAAAGGCAGAAUUGUGAAAAGAGGGUUUCCUGGAGAUUCCCAGAAGAUUGAGAUGGAUUAUGUGAUUCUGGAAGGAGACAAGAAGCAGGCAAUACAAAGUUGCUAAACAGUUGUAACAAAACACUCGUCAAGCACUUUACCCCUACCUUCAACACCUUGCAAAAUGUAAAAGACAUUUCAUAUUGAGACCACUGUUUCAGCUGAGUUAAUUAGAAACAUUUCCUCACAGUACUCAGCAUCUUGUGCACAUCAUCUAGAGGAGCACUCCUUGCACUACCUACUUUGUUUUUGUGGCUAUUAUUUUUUCAUUGAAAAAGCACCAUCAACUAAAUCAGUAAAUAAAUCAAUUUCCUAAAUGCCUGUCUGAAAAAUG